rnacentral:rRNA from 1 species
UACGGGGGGGGUAAGCGUUGUUCGGAAUUACUGGGCGUAAAGGGCUCGUAGGCGGCCAACUAAGUCAUACGUGAAAUCCCUCAGCUUAACUGGGGAACUGCGUGUGAUACUGGAUGGCUUGGAUUUGGGAGAGGGAUGCGGAAUUCCAGGUGUAGCGGUGAAAUGCGUAGAUAUCUGGAGGAACACCGGUGGCGAAGGCGGCAUCCUGGACCGGCAUUGACGCUGAGGAGCGAAAGCUAGGGGAGCAAACGGGG